rnacentral:rRNA from 1 species
AGUGAACGCUGGCGGUAGGCCUAACACAUGCAAGUCGAACGGCAGCACAGUAAGAGCUUGCUCUUACGGGUGGCGAGUGGCGGACGGGUGAGGAAUACAUCGGAAUCUACUUUUUCGUGGGGGAUAACGUAGGGAAACUUACGCUAAUACCGCAUACGACCUACGGGUGAAAGCAGGGGAUCUUCGGACCUUACGCGAUUGAAUGAGCCGAUGUCGGAUUAGCUAGUUGGCGGGGUAAAGGCCCACCAAGGCGACGAUCCGUAGCUGGUCUGAGAGGAUGAUCAGCCACACUGGAACUGAGACACGGUCCAGACUCCUACGGGAGGCAGCAGUGGGGAAUAAUGGACAAUGGGCGCAAGCCUGAUCCAGCCAUACCGCGUGGGUGAAGAAGGCCUUCGGGUUGUAAAGCCCUUUUGUUGGGAAAGAAAAGCAGCAGGUUAAUACCCCGCUGUUCUGACGGUACCCAAAGAAUAAGCACCGGCUAACUUCGUG